GUGGCCGGAGCUAGCUUAAUCAUGUUGCAGAGCUAGCUUCGCUGCCCUCAUUUGAUGGGUGCCUUGGUGAAAUCAAGAUUUCAGACUCUUUAUUGGAAUUGAUAGGUUGUGAGGGUGACAUGGCUACUUCAACUUGUGAAUAUUCCAAACUAUAUCACCAUUGUCUACACUUUGGUUACUUUGUGCAAUGCCUGAGACUUCAAAAUGUUUUCUGUGAUGAAGAAAUUUGUCACCUAUUGAGGAACAGCAAAUAGCAGAGCUUGGAACUAAGGUGGAUAAGAUCCAAGGAGCAUGUCUUGGAAGGAGGGAAAUAUUUCAGCUAACGAGAAAUUCGUGCAAGUUUAUAUUUGCUUAUGAUGGAGUGAAGAGAGAAUUAAAGGAGAUCUUUAGUUCACCAGAACAGAAGCUCGACCAAUCUUUCGAAUUUAGGGG